GCUCCAAUAGCGUAUAUUUAAGUUGCUGCAGUUAAAAAGCUCGUAGUUGGAUUUCGGGUGAGGCCUGCCGGUCCGCCGUUUCGGUGUGCACUGGCAGGGCUCACCUUGUUGCCGGGGACGGGCUCCUGGGCUUCACUGUCCGGGACUCGGAGUCGGCGCUGUCACUUUGAGUAAAUUAGAGUGUUCAAAGCAGGCCUACG
rnacentral:rRNA from 1 species